AGUGAACGCUGGCGGUAGGCCUAACACAUGCCAGUCGAACGGCAGCACAGUAAGAGCUUGCUCUUACGGGUGGCGAGUGGCGGACGGGUGAGGAAUACAUCGGAAUCUACUUUUUCGUGGGGGAUAACGUAGGGAAACUUACGCUAAUACCGCAUACGACCUACGGGUGAAAGCAGGGGAUCUUCGGACCUUGCGCGAUUGAAUGAGCCGAUGUCGGAUUAGCUAGGUGGCGGGGUAAAGGCCCACCAAGGCGACGAUCCGUAGCUGGUCUGAGAGGAUGAUCAGCCACACUGGAACUGAGACACGGUCCAGGCUCCUACGGGAGGCAGCAGUGGGGAAUAUUGGACAAUGGGCGCAAGCCUGAUCCAGCCAUACCGCGUGGGUGAAGAAGGCCUUCGGGUUGUAAAGCCCUUUUGUUGGGAAAGAAAAGCAGCAGGUUAAUACCCCGCUGUUCUGACGGUACCCAAAGAAUAAGCACCGGCUAACUUCGUG
rnacentral:rRNA from 1 species